rnacentral:rRNA from 1 species
CGGGGUGAGUAAUGUCUGGGAAGCUGCCUGAUGGAGGGGGAUAACUACUGGAAACGGUAGCUAAUACCGCAUAACGUCGCAAGACCAAAGAGGGGGACCUUGGGCCUCUUGCCAUCGGAUGUGCCCAGAUGGGAUUAGCUAGUAGGUGGGGUAACGGCUCACCUAGGCGACGAUCCCUAGCUGGUCUGAGAGGAUGACCAGCCACACUGGAACUGAGACACGGUCCAG